ACGCGGGCAGCUUCACCUGGAUAGACGGAACCAGCAGCAACAGAACCUACUGGCAUGACGGACAGCCUGAUAAAUCAUACAACGGAUUUGGGGCAGCGGUGGUGAACAACGACGACCCCGAUGGCUUGUGGAUGGUGGAGAAGGUCACUGAGGAAUACCACUACUUGUGUGAGAAGCCUCAAGGGUCGUGCUUGCCUGGGUGGGAGGAGUUCGAGGGCUCCUGCUACUACUUCAACACGGAGAGUACUGAUCUGAAAGUGUGGGAGGACGCUCAGACCACGUGCAGGGAUGUGAAGGCCCGCAUGGUUGUGCUGAACACCGAGGAAGAGGACGUUUUCUUCCGCAGCCGUAUGCCGGAGCUCGAUAAGAUUUGGAUUGGGUUGUAUAGCGAGCCCGGUAAGGAUGUCUAUUGGACGGAUGGCACAACAAUGGAGAUCAAGAACUUCACUCAUAUGUCUGAUGAAGAUAAGAACGCCGCCAUUAGUAACAGCGUCCAGCAGUGUGCCUACCUGCAGCAGACCACAAAUGCAGAAGGCGAGACCGUUUCCUCUUGGAUUCCUACUGACUGCACCACACCGCUACAUUACGCUUGCGAGGCGGAUGUUGGGGCAAAGCUUAGCCUCAUUCCUCCCUCUAAUGAUCGGCACUGCCCGGUAGGACAAUGGAAGCAAAAUGAAGAUUUUUGCUACCUCUUCCUUACUGACGAGAAGUCGUGGACCCAAGCUGAGGGAUACUGCCAGAGCCUCGACAGUAAUGCUCAUCUCGUGUCAAUCCUCACGUGGGGCGAGCAGGAUUUUGUGUUCAAUGAAGAGCUGGCGAGUGGGUGGAUAGGACUCAAUCAGAGGACAGGAGAACAGUGGAGCUGGAAUGACGGCAGCAUUGUCACUAUCCAGAACUGGGAGGAAGGGGAGCCAAAUGGACAGGAGGAAACUUGCGUUGAGAUGUACAGCAAUAAUGGGAAGUGGAAUGACAUGUUCUGUACUGACCUGAAGACGUUUACCUGCAAGAUGCCAGCCUCUAACACCCCCAUCGGUACCGUCACCACCACCACUGCCAUUCCUGAUACCUCUGCGUGCGGGUAUGACUGGACGGAAAACCCCAGCACGGGCGAGUGUUACCGCGUGGAGGUGUAUGACAUGGUGUACAAUGACGCGCUCCUGCACUGCAAGGAGCUGCACUACUACGAGGGACAGUCAGAGCCGAACCUUGUGUCCAUCUACACACCCGAGGAGCAGGACUUUGUGUACAAAUUGUUAGAGAGUCAGCACCUCAGCCAGAGCAGCAUUUGGAUCGGCAUGAAGAAUGAUUUUGCGGGCAACUACUGGCUGGAUGACACUCCCUCCGCUUACUUCAACUUUGCGGAUGGCGAACCCAACGACCAGUGGAACGAGAAUUGCGUGGAGAUGUACACAGACGGUGGCAAAUGGAACGACGCCUUCUGCAGCAAUCGCCAGCCAUUCAUUUGCGAGAAGAAAGGGAGGAAUUACGUUGGACCUCAGCCGCCGCCUCCCCCUGAAGUGCUAUGUCCAAGCGGGUGGGAAUACUGGGACCACAACUGCUACUACUUCUCCUCGGACAAGACUGACUGGUUCCGGGCUGCGAGCAACUGCGAAGCCAUGAUGGGAAGUCAUUUGGUCUCCAUCACUAACCUGGACGAGAAUAACUACGUGCAAGGCAUCCUGAAGCCAAAGCAGAGGGACGCGUGGCUGGGUUUGCGGGACGACGACCAAGGUAACAACUGGCACUGGACCGAUGGAUCUCCGAUUGACUGGACCAACUGGGGUUACGGCGAGCCCAGUAACUAUAACGGCGAGGAGCACUGCGGGGAGAUGAGGUCGUGGGACUAUUACUGGGACGGAAAAUGGAAUGACAUGAAGUGCACCCAAGACAACUACUACGUGUGCAAAGUGAAAGUUGACACUUGCCCGGUGGACUGGGUGUUCAAUGACGGCAAGUGUUAUUAUGUGAGUGACUUCGAGGCGACCAGGAACGAGGGGGAGGUGAAGUGCCAGGAGAUGAACACGAAGGCAACACUCGUCAACAUUCACUCCGAAGAGGAAAAUCAAUUCUUUGCUAAUCAGCUAAUCCAGAGCAGUCAGUCGUGCUGGAUGGGGCUGCAGUAUAACGGAGCCAACUGGACCUGGGCAGACGGCACACCCAUGGACUACAGUAACUGGAACUCAGGGGAACCAAACAACAUGGAAUCUGAGACGUGCGGCGAGAUGAUUGACUACCCUAACUCUGCUUACGAGGGGAAGUGGAACAACCUGGAGUGUGGAACGUCGAGAGCCUUUGGGUGUGAGUUGUAUCCCACUCACAUGAUUGCCUGCGCUGACGGCUGGGAGGAGUUCGAGGACUACUGCUACAAAGUCUACAAUGACGAUUACUUAUUACCAGAAGAGGCGAGGGAGAAAUGCCAGGACGAGAAUGCCGAUCUGGCGUCCGUCCACUCCUACCAAGAAAACGACUUCAUAUAUUCCUUGUUGGGCUACGAGUCUUUCUGCCCCUACCUUGGCCUCACGGACGUCGGCCACCCCAAGUUCUUCAAGUGGCUGGACGGCACGACAGUGGACUUCACCCUGUUUUCGAGUUCCUUGGUCUUAUGGCCAUCCGAGCUGUGUGCCUGCAUGCAAGGCUACUACUCAGGCGAAUGGAGCUUGGAAAACUGCGACAAUAUGGAGCACUUCGUAUGUAAGAAGCCCAAGGAAGCCAAGCCGCUGCACCCAGUCGAGACGGGCUGUAAUGAGGGAGACAUUUACUACGAGGCAACCUGCUACGGCUUCCAUGAGCUCUCCUCCUCGUGGAAUAAAGCCAAGGAGGACUGUGAGUUCCGCGGCCAGCACCUCGUUGCCCUCGAGACACAGUUUGAGAACGCGUAUGUUUCCUCGCUGCUGGCAGAAAGGAAGUCGAGGAUUUGGAUUGGUCUCUCCGGCACCAUCGCCUCUGACGGAAGUGUUACCUUUUCCUGGGUGAACGGGAAGCCCCUUGACUACUCCUACUGGAAUAGAUACGAGCCAGAUCCAGAACACGGGACUUGCGUGAUUUCCUCAGGGCAGGACAACGGCUUAUGGGGAGUCCGAAACUGCGAUGACAAUUACGAGUACAUGUGUGAGUAUGACCGAGUUGGAUACACCACGCCGACCCCUCCCACCACCAAGGCGCCCUCUGACUAUUGUAUGUACGACUGGGAGCACAAAGGCCUGGCGUGCUACAAGGUGAUGCUGGACGGGGACACCUGGAGCGGGGCAGAGGAGAGGUGCACCAAGUUCGGCGGGCACCUGGUCAGUGUGAGAGACGAGCUGGAGCAAACACUGAUUCUCGGCCUGACAGGGAUGGACGAGGCUGUGUCAAAAUACGGCAGUAUCUGGGUGGGUCUGGUCCUCGACAUUAACUCAGGUUACCAAUGGGUGGACGGAACGGGUGUCGACUUUGUGAACUGGGCAGAAGGGCAGCCAGACAGCCACGAGGGGCGGGAGUCGUGCGUGUCAGCUGAUGCCUCCAACUUGAAACUCUAUGACAGUGUUUGCGUCACCCACAUGCCCUUCAUCUGCGAGGCGCCCACAGGCAGCAUGAUGACCACCGUCACUGCUCCCCCUAAGCCUCCCAUGGACCCGUGCCCUAACAACCCUGACUGGUACAAGUACGAGAACCACUGUUACAAGUUCGUUUCCGUCACGGACGAGCCAGCACAGACGUGGUGGAAGUCUCACAAACUCUGCAGGGACGAGGGUGGCGAGCUGGUCUCCAUUCUGUCACACGAAGAGAACUACUGGAUUGAGUCUAUGAUUUACAACAAGGACGGUAUGGCGAUGUGGACUGGUGGGCGGGCGUUGAUGGGCACCGGGUAUGAGUGGCUGGACGGCGAGCCCUUCAUCUAUGACAACUGGGCGUCAGGCGAGCCCAACAAUGUGCACGACCAAGAGGACUGCAUCAGCAUGUACACCAACAACCAGGGCUACUGGAACGACCUGAACUGCGGCAUCGAAGCAGGUCGUAUUUGCAAGCGUCCGGAUGGCGAGACUCUGCCCCCGGCCAAGACCACCGUGGUCCCUGACGGCCACUGCCCCGUGGGUUGGGUGCACACAGGCACAAAAUGCGUCUACUUUAACAAGAAGAGGCAGAACUUCACAAUAGCUCGGCAGGUUUGCCAGAAGAUGGGAAGCAAGGCGGAUCUGGCCAGCAUUCACUCCGCCGCUGAGCAAGCUUACCUGACUGCGGCCAUGGUGACGCAGGAGCUGCACAUGUGGAUCGGGAUGCGGUACGAGUUGGGCUUCUAUUGGGUGGACCAGUCAGCGGUCACGUACAUGAACUGGGGACCUGGAGAGCCCAACGGAGGGGCGGGGAAGGAGGAGUGCGUGGAGGUGAAUACUGACACUGGCCACUGGAAUGACAUCAACUGUUCCGACGAGUUUGGCUCCAUCUGCAUGAUGACCCAAGAUCCAGACCAGCCCGACCACCACACCACGAAGAAAUGCCCCGCGCCUCACGAGAACUACUUAGCCUACAACGGGCAGUGCUACAGAGCAGUCACUGAUGCCAAGACGUGGGAGGAAGCGGAGGCGACCUGCACGGGGGAGGACGCCCACUUGGUUUCCAUCGAGACUCCAGCCGAGGACAGCUUUGUGUGGGCGUUGUCGCAGGAGAAUGCCUUUAGCAGCUUAUGGUUGGGACUCAGCAACAAGAAGAAUUUUGACAAGUAUGAAUGGUCAGACGGGUGGCCGAUGAUCUACAGUAACUGGGGGUAUCAGGAACCAGUAGGCGACCCACUGAAGCGCAGCUGUGUCAUUAUGAACAUGACGGAGGGCAGCUGGUACACCAAGCCCUGCGAUCAGUCCUACACCUUCACUUGUAAAUACACUAACGAGACGGUACCCACUGUGGACCCGCCAAUCACCGGCACCUGCCCCGACAACCGCUGGGUGGAUCUCAAGGGCAGCUAUUGUUACUUAUUUUCCAACGAAACCCAGAAGUGGGCCGAUGCCAACCAGAUCUGCAUGCAGGAGGGCUCAAACCUCGCCUCCGUGCAUUCAGAUGGUGAAAUGAAGCUGAUCAAGCUUCACAUGAAUGACCGUAAUGAACCCUACUGGCUUGGCCUUCUUGAAUCUAACAACGGCGAGAAAUGGACGGAUGGCACGGGUCUAGACUUCGUGUACUGGAUGAAGGACGAACCGAACAGCCACGCGGAGAAGUGCACGGAGGCGAUAGUGAAGACCGGCCGGUGGAACGACGCAGAUUGUGAAGAAGCACGCUACUACGUCUGCAAAACCCGCAAAAUUCAGGAAGGAACAGAUGUCCCGCCAGUACAAACCACGACGAAGAAGCCAGACGGUAGUGGAGGAGGCUCAGGUAAGCUGAGCGGCGGCGGCAUCGCGGGCAUCGUCAUCGCCGUGCUGUUCGUGGUGGCAGCAAUGGGCUUCGUGGGCUUCACCUACGUGCAAAAAAAACCUAAAAGACUGAGAGGCUCCAACCAGCGACUCAGCUUCGAGAACAUCGCUUACUCUCCAGACAACAACACGGAGGUGUCAGCGCCGAGUGUGGGCGGUGUGUCAGUCAUCAAUGUUGCAGAUGGUCAGGGAAGUGAAGCUUAAAUAAUUACCAUCAAUUCUAACACUAAUACUAUUCAAACAUCAAUAUUUUUCAUGAUCCAUUGCAAUUUCCACCUUUUCCUCGCCUCUAAAUGGUCUCUUUGCUGCUGAGCCUGUCAAUUAAUUACUCGUUCAUGACUCAAUUGUUCUUGUGUUCUGUUCUGUUACACGCAGUUUAUCAUUUCUUCCUCUUUCUGUCGUUCUCUUCUCCCCCUCCUGGUCCUCCCUUCUUCAGGCACGCAGUUCACAGAAAACGAGAAAGAUGGGCUGUUAAGAUUUUUAUAGUUUGCCUGUCUCCAAGUUUACGAUUUCAGGUUAAAAGUAAUGUGAUACCGAUAUGUGUGUGUGUGUGUGUGUGUGUGUGUGUGUGUGUGUGUGUGUGUGUGUGUGUGUGUGUGUGUGUGUGUGUGUGUGUGUGUGUGUGUGUGUGUGUGUGUGUGUGUGUGUGUG
rnacentral:misc_RNA from 1 species